UGCGUAGGCGGCUUUUUAAGUCGGAUGUGAAAUCCCCGAGCUUAACUUGGGAAUUGCAUUCGAUACUGGGAAGCUAGAGUAUGGGAGAGGAUGGUAGAAUUCCAGGUGUAGCGGUGAAAUGCGUAGAGAUCUGGAGGAACACCAGUGGCGAAGGCGGCUCACUGGCUCGAUACUGACGCUGAGGUGCGAAAGCGUGGGGAGCAAACAGGAUUAGAUACCCCGGUA
rnacentral:rRNA from 1 species